rnacentral:rRNA from 1 species
GACGAACGCUGGCGGCGUGCCUAAUACAUGCAAGUAGAACGCAGUUGCGAACGGGUGAGUAACGCGUAGGUAACUGCCUCAUAGCGGGGGAUAACUAUUGGAAACGAUAGCUAAUACCGCAUACUGUGGGAUGGACCUGCGUUGUAUUAGCUAGUUGGUGAGGUAAAGGCUAACCAAGGCGACGAUACAUAGCCGACCUGAGAGGGUGAUCGGCCACACUGACACUUGGACACGGCCCAGACUCUGACGGUAGGUAGCGGUAGGGCAUCUUCGUAAAUGGACGGAGGUCUGACCGAGAAACACCGCGUGAGUGAAGAAGGUUUGCGGAUCGUAAAGCUCUGUUGUUAGAGAAGCGGUAUCUAACCAGAAAGGGACGGCUAACUACGGGCCAGCAGCCGCGGUAAGUC